rnacentral:tRNA from 1 species
GAGGAUGUAGCUCAGUUGGUUAGAGCAUCAGAUUGUGGUUCUGAGGGUCGGGGGUUCGAGCCCCCUCUUCCUCC